GAUGAACGCUGGCGGCGCGCCUAAUACAUGCAAGUCGAGCGAACGGACGAGAAGCUUGCUUCUCUGAUGUUAGCGGCGGACGGGUGAGUAACACGUGGAUAACCUACCUAUAAGACUGGGAUAACUUCGGGAAACCGUAGCUAAUACCGGAUAAUAUUUUGAACCGCAUUGUUCAAAAGUGAAAGACGGUCUUGCUGUCUCUUAUAGAUGGAUCCGCGCUGCAUUAGCUAGUUUGGAAGGUAAGGGCUUACCAAGGCAACGAUGCAUAGCCGACCUGAGAGGGUGAUCGGCCACACGGGAACUGAGACACGGUCCAGCCUCCUACGGGAGGCAGCAGUAGGGAAUCUUCCGCAAUGGGCGAAAGCCUGACGGAGCAACGCCGCGUGAGUGAUGAAGGUCUUCGGAUCGUAAAACUCUGUUAUUAGGGAAGAAAAUAUGUGUAAGUAACUGUGCACAUCUUGACGGUACCUAAUCAGAAAGCCACGGCUAACUACGUG
rnacentral:rRNA from 1 species